rnacentral:rRNA from 1 species
AGAGUUUGAUCAUGGCUCAGAAUCAACGCUGGCGGCGUGCCUAACACAUGCAAGUCGCACGAGAAAGGGUAGCAAUACCUGAGUAAAGUGGCGCACGGGUGAGUAACACGUGACUAAUCUACCCUCGAGUGGGGAAUAACUGAGAGAGAUCUUAGCUAAUACCGCAUAACACUUACGAGUCAAAGCAGCAAUGCGCUUGGGGAGGAGGUCGCGGCCGAUUAGCUAGUUGGCGGGGUAAUGGCCCACCAAGGCGAUGAUCGGUAUCCGGCCUGAGAGGGCGCACGGACACACUGGAACUGAAACACGGUCCAGACUCCUACGGGAGGCAGCAGUGGGGAAUUUUGCGCAAUGGGGGAAACCCUGACGCAGCAACGCCGCGUGGAGGAUGAAAUAUCUUGGUAUGUAAACUCCUUUCGAUGGGGAAGAUAAUGACGGUACCCAUAGAAGAAGCCCCGGCUAACUUCGUGCCAGCAGCCGCGGUAAUACGAGGGGGGCAAGCGUUGUUCGGAUUUAUUGGGCGUAAAGGGUGCGUAGGCGGUUUGACAAGUCUGGUGUGAAAUCUCUCGGCUCAACCGGGAAACUGCGCUUGAAACUGGAUGACUGGAGUGAUGCAGGGGUGUGUGGAACUUCCGGUGGAGCGGUGAAAUGUGUAGAUAUCGGAAGGAACGCCAGCAGCGAAAGCGGCACACUGGGCAUUUUCUGACGCUGAGGCACGAAAGCUAGGGGAGUGAACGGGAUUAGAUACCCCGGUAAUCCUAGCCGUAAACACUGAACACUGGGGGAGGGAGGCUUCGGCCUUCCUUCCCGUAGCGAAAGCGUUAAGUGUUCCGCCUGGGGAGUAUGGUCGCAAGGCUGAAACUCAAAGGAAUUGACGGGGGCUCACACAAGCGGUGGAGCAUGUGGCUUAAUUCGAGGCAACGCGAAGAACCUUAUCCUGGGUUUGACAUGUACGGAUUAACCCUAUGAAAGUAGGGCCACGCUCGCAAGAGUGGAACGUGCACAGGUGCUGCAUGGCUGUCGUCAGCUCGUGUCGUGAGAUGUCGCGUUAAGUCGCUAAACGAGCGAAACCCCUAUCUUUAGUUGCCAGCGCGUCAUGGCGGGGACUCUAAAGAGACUGCCGGUGUCAAACCGGAGGAAGGCGGGGAUGACGUCAAGUCCUCAUGGCCUUUAUGCCCAGGGCUGCACACGUGCUACAAUGGGGCGUACAAAGCGCCGCGAAGUUGCGAAACCAAGCUAAUCGCAAAAAGCGCCCCCCAGUUCGGAUUGCAGGCUGCAAUUCGCCUGCAUGAAGCCGGAAUCGCUAGUAAUCGCCGAUCAGCAUUGCGGCGGUGAGUGUGUUCCUGAGCCUUGUACACACCGCCCGUCAAGCCACGAAAGCGGGGGCAUCCGAAGUCGCCGAGCGAACCGCAAGGACGCAGGUGCCGAAGAUGAACUCCGUGAUUGGGACUAAGUCGUAACAAGGUA